ACUUAAAUAGUUUAUAAAAACCUAGAUUUGUGGUAUCUAAGAUACUGUUGUUAAGUUUUAAGUA
rnacentral:tRNA from 1 species